rnacentral:tRNA from 1 species
GACUCAGUGGUCCAAUGGUAAAGCGCUCGUCGCGGAGCCAGGGGGUCCUGAGUUCGAUCCUCGAUGGGGUCG